rnacentral:rRNA from 1 species
CAGCCGCCGCGGUAAUACGUAAGUCGCAAGCGUUAUCCGGAAUUAUUGGGCGUAAAGCGUCCGCAGGCGUUUUGAUAAGUCUGAUGUUAAAUCUGAGAGCUCAACUCUCAGCUCGUAUCGGAAACUAUCGAAAUUGAGUAGUGCAGGGGCAACUGGAAUUCCAGAAGUAGGGGUAAAAUCCGUAGAUCUCUGGAGGAACACCAAACGCGAAGGCAUGUUGCUGGGCACUCACUGACGCUCAUGGACGAAAGCGUGGGUAGCGAACGGGAUUAGAUACCCCGGUAGUCCACGCCGUAAACGAUGGAUACUCGGUAUUGGGAGCUUCGACCCUCUCGGUGCCUAAGCUAACGCAUUAAGUAUCCCGCCUGGGUAGUACGGUCGCAAGAUUAAAACUCAAAGGAAUAGACGGGGACCUACACAAGCGGUGGAGCAUGUGGUUUAAUUCGAUAAUAAGCGGGAAACCUUACCAGGGCUUGACAUCUUGGGAAUAUCCCAGAAAUGGGAUAGUGCCUUCGGGAACCCGAUGACAGGUGUUGCAUGGUUGUCGUCAGCUCGUGCCUUGAGGUGUUCUGUUAAGUCAGUAAACGAGCGCAACCCUAAUCGUAUGUUGUAUAUUUCAUGCGAGACUGCCGACUCCAAGUCGGAGGAAGGUUAGGAUAACGUCAAAUCAGCAUGGCCCUUAUGUCCUGGGCUACGCACGUGCUACAAUGGUCGGUACAAUGGGUAGCCAAGUCGCAAGACGGAGCCAAUCCCAUCAAAACCGAUCUCAGUUCGGAUAGAGGGCUGCAAUUCGCCCUCUUGAAGUUGGAAUCGCUAGUAAUCGUGAAUCAGCAUGUCACGGUGAAUAUGUUCCUAGGUCUUGUACUCACCGCCCGUCAAGUCACGGAAGAUAGGGGUACCAGAAGUCCCACAAUAAAGUGGGCCCAAGGUAAAACUAUUGACUGGGACUAAGUCGUAACAAGGUAGCCGUA